AGGGAAUCCAACUGUGACCUCCUGGUUCACGGGUUGAUGCUCAAUCACUGAUCUACCCUAGCCAGCUGUCAGACUAUAUAUUGAAUGAUAUUUAAAAAAUUGUAUUCUAUAGAUAGUUUGGUUAUGAAAGAAGCCAUUGUACUUUUACUGUUCAUCAUAGGAUUCUAUACAUUCUACAUUAGAAAAACUAGGCUAUAAGUUUGAGUCUUUGGAUAAUACACUCUAAAAAUCUAUUUUCUUUAGUUAUUUACCUACUGAAAUUAGUAGAAAAAUUAUAUAUAAAAGCAUCCUUUAAGAAUAAUUCCCUCCAGCAAAAUGAUAUAUAGCCUCAUUAAUAUUCUUCUUUGCAGGAAUAAAUCCAGACAAAAUAAAUUCACUACUCUGGAGAAUAAUGGGCAGCCCAUGAACUGGAGAGAUGAUCUGCUACUUAAAAAUGAGGGCUCUUUGCCUUCUUGGUUGGAACAUAGCAUCUUUGGAUGGUACUGGAGUAUAAACAAAUAGAAAUGCCUUUUCUCUACAUGCUGGAAGCAGUCAUUCCUGUUGCCACGGAAACAUCCUGAGGCAGCCAGGGUCACCUUUGGAAACCAUUGAAAGACUUCAGAAGCAGAUCAAUAGAGACAUGCAGAGACCUGAACUUCCCAGCUAAUGUUGUCUCUUAUUUUAAAGGUCAUUUUUCAACAAACACUUGCUUAUGUGAAUACCAUGUACUGGGAAGUAGGAAGGCAAAAUUGAAUGUAUAAUAACUGGUCCAUAUUGUCAAGCUCUGCUUUUAGAAGCCUGUGGUUUUUGGUAGAAAUGCUUUGAGAAGGGAAUGAGUAGGAAUAGCAGUCUGUAUGAUGGAGUGACAUUCAGGUUUUAAAGAAAAGCUGCAUUUAAGACUUCAUUUGCAGAAAAGUUUUCAAAAUACACAGAUUCUUUACUCAUACAAGCAUACUUCAUUGGAUUUUAUCUAAGUUAGUGAGAUUUUUUACUUUAAUUUAAAAAAUGUUUUGUCAUAUAGUAGGUUUGUGCAGAUUUUGUGUCAAAAAAGCACAAUUUCAUUCACUCAAAUACUCACUCAUUUGACCAUUAAUUCAUCUUAUUAUCAAAUAUUUAUUAUGUCACACUAUAAGUCAGGUAUUACCUGAAGAUGGGGAGUGAACAAAACAUUAUCUUUGCUUUUAA